rnacentral:rRNA from 1 species
AUGGGAGGUAAUGACUCGUCGAUUGCAUGCCUUGUUAUUUUUUCCUUUCCACCGUUUGAACCUAGUGAUUCCACUCGAACAAAUGUGCGUAAUGAAAAUCGUCAACUCCAAGCUCGUCCGAGGAAUGUUAUUUCUUUAGACAAAAUGAAGGAGGAUCUGGAGCAGAAGGACCUUGAUCUUGCUGUGGCGCACAAGACAGCGCGUGAGAAGACUGAACUUGCCAACCAGAAGCUGCCUUCGGUCGGAAAGUUGGAAGAUGAGAAUGCCAAGAUGAAAACCGUUGUCGACGAGGCGAAGAAAGAGGCCAUGCAACUGAAGGAGGAGAAGGUGGCUUUGUCUGACAAAGUGGAUGUUCUCACUCAGAAGAGGGACGAGCUGGAAACUUAUGUGGGUAGUCUCGCCAAGAAGAUGUUCCUCAUUCUUGAAGAGUUUUGUCAGAAUUUUGAGGAGGAAACCGGGCGGAUCGAGACAGGACUGGACCCCAUCAAUUCUCGCAUCAAGGAUGAAGCUGCCAUGAACGUGCUGUGA